AACGAACGCUGGCGGCAGGCCUAACACAUGCGAGUCGAGCGCGCCCUUCGGGGUGAGCGGCGGACGGGUGAGUAACGCGUGGGAACGUGCCCUUUUCUACGGAAUAGCCUCGGGAAACUGAGAGUAAUACCGUAUACGCCCUUUGGGGGAAAGAUUUAUCGGAAAAGGAUCGGCCCGCGUUGGAUUAGGUAGUUGGUGGGGUAAUGGCCUACCAAGCCGACGAUCCAUAGCUGGUUUGAGAGGAUGAUCAGCCACACUGGGACUGAGACACGGCCCAGACUCCUACGGGAGGCAGCAGUGGGGAAUCUUAGACAAUGGGGGCAACCCUGAUCUAGCCAUGCCGCGUGAGUGAUGAAGGCCUUAGGGCUGUAAAGCUCUUUCAGCUGGGAAGAUAAUGACGGUACCAGCAGAAGAAGCCCCGGCUAACUCCGUG
rnacentral:rRNA from 1 species